rnacentral:lncRNA from 1 species
UGGUAAAAUAUAUUAAUAGUCCAUAUAAUAGGAAAUUCAGAAGGAUGGAUGAGUGAUCUAGUUCUUAAAAGUGGUUAAUUAGAGAAUUACGAUUAAAAUCUAGAGAAUCAGAGGAAAAUAUAUAGGAGUUGUAGAAGUUAAUUAAGGUGCCAUCGCUGUGAUAGUGUGAGCAGGGUAAGCUUGGUGCUACCUCUUUUAUUUUAUUUUUUAUUUUCUUUAAAUAAGAGGAUUGAGAGUUUCUGAACAUUGUGAAGUGAAUUAUGGAAUGGAAAUGUGAUUGAUAUUAUUUGAGAAGAAGAAAGAUUGAAUGCUAAAAUCUGAUUGUAGUUCAGCAGAGAGAAUGAGUCUGUGUUUGUGUGAAAUAUCGUAAUGUGAAUGGAAGUUCUCUGUGAAGAAUUCCAGUGAUUGGAAUGAAGGUAAUUGUGUGCUGAAAGCUAUGAGGGUGCAGUAUUAUAGUUGAAGAUUAUGAAGGUGAAUAUAUUGGUGGAAAUAGCAAUUAUUGGGUUGACUGAAUUGCUAUAAGGAAGAGAACGAUAAGGUGAAAGAGGAGAUUAUAGUUUCUUUGUGUGUUCAGAUAUUAGAAAUAGAGACGAUACAUUCAG